rnacentral:lncRNA from 1 species
GACCGCGAAGGCCAGCUUCUUCGAAAGGCCCAUUUUUCUCCGUGGCUGAGCGAAUGCUCCUAGAAUACCACGUUUAUAAUAAAUCAUGUAGGGUGGAAUUCCUGCUGGAUGUAUACACCUUUCUGCAUCAGAGCUCUUCAAACCCAGAAUGGUGAAUAGCUACCCCUGGGCUUACCCUUUUAUAAUUUUCAACAAACCUGCGUUUAGCCCCGGCUAGGUGCCAGCAAGUUGCUAGGGACUGAGGAGGCUCUGCAGAGGACCCGAGCUGAGGCCCUAAUCCUCAAGGCCAAUGGCAGGGGUCACCGCCCAGGCACCCCCAGAGAACGCGGUGUGAAGGAAAAGACACCAAACUCGGUGUUCAAAUGUGUGGGAUCUAUUCUAGUUCUGAUUCUGACACUUGCAAGUCAUGCAUCCUCCGAGCCUCGGCUUUCUCACCUAUAAAAUCUUCAACGUGACCUAUAAAAAUCCAUAAAAUCACCCCUGCUUCAUUGUUUCCCAGGGCUCAUAGAAACAUCAUACAAGGUAAGGGAAGGUGGAGAAGAGUACCCAAGAAGGACAAGCUUGGAAUGGGGCCCCCUCCCCAGGCUGGAGAUCAGACAUUGUUGGAGAAGGUAUCAUUGCAGCCCCCUACAUAGCAGAGAGAUUUGCUGAGUUGCAUAGUCUAGAGCUGGUUGCAAUUAUUGGACAAGCAGGAAACAAACCUCCACAGCCCAUGCGAGCCACACUGCUGGGUUGAGUGUAUGAGCAUGUAGAAUGAUUGGGUCUCCAGUGCGGACAGAAGGCAUGGAUCGCGUGGUGCCUGUGUUGGGAGGAUACUAAGAGGGCGAUCACCAUGCCAGGACAAGACUAGUUGCCUGGGAUCUUCUGGGCACGUGACUGGAGCAGAGUACCACUGGAUCUCCUCACACCAGCCAGACCCAGGAAGAGAAGCUCCUUUCACCUGCACUGUUCUCUCAGCACCCUCCACGGAGAAAGCUUCAUGUUAUGCUUAGUGUACAGGAGAAAUGCUCAUGGGAAUCCUGUCCAUUAUCACAGAGCAGGUAUUAGUGGGUGAAUAUGGAGCUGAGAAGUAAUAAGUUGUAACUGGCAUAGAUAUCAUGGGGAUAUUUGAAGAACGCUGUGAACACA